GUAUAUGGGAAGACAGAAAAAAGGGGAAAAAAAUGGACUAACAUUACAUAGAGCUUUCAGUAAGCUCUCCUUAUAGGUGCCUGGGUGGUAUGAUCUCCACCUGGGGAUACGGUGUGGGUCUUGGGCCGAAGAUUAUAAAAUAUUAACAGAACAGAUACCAAUACAGUGUAAUAUGCGGAUUAAUCAUAGAUCUGUUGUGAUGCUGUUCAGAC